rfam:chromosome VI of strain GB-M1 of Encephalitozoon cuniculi (Microspora)
GACGGUGUGGCGCAACGGUAGCGCGUCGGAUUCCAGUCCCGAAGGUUCUAGGUUCAAAUCCUGGCUCCGUCA